rnacentral:misc_RNA from 1 species
GAAAAUAGCCAGCCUGGCUGGCAUAUAAUUCUAUCCCACCUUGUGUGCAAGCAAUGGAAAAGAAAGAGAGAAUAUUGGAUGCUUUUUUUGUAUCCAAUCUCUCUAAAGUUUUUUACAAACUCCAUCAAAUUUUGAAAUGAAAACUAUUUUUUUUUAACAAAAAAUAUUAUA